CGAAUUUUCAGUUGAUAUUAUGACUAAUAUACUAAUAUUGAUACUAAAUUUUCAUAUUUUGAAAAAUGGAAAUUUUGAUGUAAUUAUGUAAUUUUGUACACAGUAAAUAUUCUAUUAGUAUAUAUAACUUUCGUUGGUUGAAUUUUGUUAAUCAGUUUACAGCAUGACAAAUAAUUACAAUUAUUAUUCCAUUUUUAGUGUGUUGAAAUAUCUGGAUUGAAUCAUAUUGAAAUUGAACAUUGCUAAAAGUCAAAAGAAGGAUAUGAAUUGAUGUUAAAUGCAGAAAGUGAAACGAAAACAAAAACACUUGGACUUAGUUUUGUACUAACAAAUAUAUUUGAAGGCGUGUACAACGAUAGGAAACAAGUUGCGGCAUUGCAAACUUAGAAAUACUAUUUGCAUAAAAUUACUGGCACGUAGAUUCAAUAAUUUAUGCUUCCAAAGAAAAAUAUCUAAUGCGAUUUCCUGCUAAAAAGCUUGUUUCUACUAUAUAGAUAAAAUAUAAAUUAGAAUUAUAAUUAUAAUUUUUAAUAAA